AUUGAACGCUGGCGGCAGGCCUAACACAUGCAAGUCGAACGAGUGGCGGACGGGUGAGUAAUGUCUGGGAAACUGCCCGAUGGAGGGGGAUAACUACUGGAAACGGUAGCUAAUACCGCAUACCAUCGGAUGUGCCCAGAUGGGAUUAGCUUGUAGGUGAGGUAACGGCUCACCUAGGCGACGAUCCCUAGCUGGUCUGAGAGGAUGACCAGACACACUGGGACGGAGACCAGGUCCAGAGUCCUACGGUAGGCAGCAGUGGGGAAUAUGACACAAUGGGCGCAAGCCUGAUGCAGCCAUGCCGCGUGUAUGAAGAAGGGCUUCGGGUUGUAAAGUACUUUCAGCGGGGAGGCGUUACCCGCAGAAAAAGCACCGACUAACUCCAUGCCAGCAGCCGCGGUAAUAC
rnacentral:rRNA from 1 species